UACAGAGGGGGCAAGCGUUGUUCGGAAUUACUGGGCGUAAAGGGCGCGUAGGCGGCCUUCUAAGUCGAACGUGAAAUCCCUGGGCUCAACCCAGGAACUGCGUCCGAUACUGGAUGGCUUGAGUUUGGGAGAGGGACGCGGAAUUCCAGGUGUAGCGGUGAAAUGCGUAGAUAUCUGGAGGAGCACCGGUGGCGAAGGCGGCGUCCUGGACCAACACUGACACUGAGGAGCGAAAGCCAGGGGAGCAAACGGG
rnacentral:rRNA from 1 species